rnacentral:pre_miRNA from 1 species
CUGGAAGUUGGGAUGGCUUUUAUUUACAUCUUGUAAAAGUCUUCACUACUUUCAGUU